rnacentral:rRNA from 1 species
AUGGCACCGUCGUUCUGGGGCCCCGAGUUCCCCCCGCAGCCGGCUGCGGUGUUCGACGACCUCGCGCCCGUGGAGGCGGAGGACGCGUACGAGGACGAGAUGGAGGAGGAGGAGGAGGGCGAGGGGGACGAGGAGCAUGAGCACGGCAGCGACGGGGAGGUCGUCCCGAUGGACAUCGAGGACCUGGGGGAGGCGCACCUCUCCUGCGGCUGCGGCCGCAACCUGCUCACCCUGUGCUUCCGGGGCGUUGUGCACAUCUUCAUGUCCGCCUCCCCUGACAAGGUGUCGCAGGUGGAAGCUGCACUUUCGCUGCAGGGGCGAUUGGAUCCGGCGGACUCUACGACUGUGCCGCCCGCCGCGCGCAACACGCUCACCAUGACCUUCCGGGGCCAGGAGUGCAGUUUCGACUCUGUAACCCCUGACGAGGUGCAAGAUGUACUUUUGUCGCUCGCGGGAAGGGAGCUGAUGGUCCCUAGGAUUGAGCUCAAAAUGGAGUUCCUGCACGGGAGCUACGACUUCGACUCUGUAUCCCCUGAUAAGUUGCAAGCUGUACUUUCGCUGCUGGGGGGAAUGGAGCUGACGGUCUCUACGGCUCUGCCAUGUGCCAACAACCAGCUCACUGAACCCUUGAUAUGCUGGAUCGACGUGUUCGACCCUGUAUUCCCUGAUAAGAUGCAAGCUUUACUUUCGCUGCUCGGGGGAAACGAGCUCAACCCAGGCAUUGGUGGUGGAGCAUCACCAUCAGUUCCAUACAGACUAUUUUUACAGUCUAUAGACCAUGUUUGGUAA